rnacentral:rRNA from 1 species
GAUGAACGCUAGCUACAGGCUUAACACAUGCAAGUCGAGGGGAAACGGCAUUGAGUGCUUGCACUCUUUGGACGUCGACCGGCGCACGGGUGAGUAACGCGUAUCCAACCUUCCCAUUACUGUGGGAUAACCUGCCGAAAGGCAGACUAAUACCGCAUAGUCUUCGAUGACGGCAUCAGAUUUGAAGUAAAGAUUUAUCGGUAAUGGAUGGGGAUGCGUCUGAUUAGCUUGUUGGCGGGGUAACGGCCCACCAAGGCUACGAUCAGUAGGGGUUCUGAGAGGAAGGUCCCCCACAUUGGACCUGAGACACGGUCCAAACUCCUACGGGAGGCAGCAGUGAGGAAUAUUGGUCAAUGGACGGAAGUCUGAACCAGCCAAGUAGCGUGCAGGAUGACGGCCCUAUGGGUUGUAAACUGCUUUUGUAUGGGGAUAAAGUUAGGGACGUGUCCCUAUUUGCAGGUACCUUACGAAUAAGGACCGGCUAAUUCCGUG